AUUGAACGCUGGCGGCAGGCCUAACACAUGCAAGUCGAACGAGUGGCGGACGGGUGAGUAAUGUCUGGGAAACUGCCUGAUGGAGGGGGAUAACUACUGGAAACGGUAGCUAAUACCGCAUACCAUCGGAUGUGCCCAGAUGGGCUUAGCUAGUAGGUGGGGUAAAGGCUCACCUAGGCGACGAUCCCUAGCUGUGUUGUGAGGAUUACAAGACAAACUGGAAUGGAGAAACGGUCCAGAUGCCUACGGGAGGCAGCAGGGGGGAAUAGGGCAAAUGGGGCGCAAGCCUGCUGCAGACAGGCCGCGGGGAUGAAGAAGGCUUUCGGGUUGUAAAGUACUUUCAGCGGGGAGGCGGUACCCGCAGAAGAAGCACCGGCUAACUCCGUGCCAGCAGCCGCGGUAAUAC
rnacentral:rRNA from 1 species